rnacentral:rRNA from 1 species
ACGAGGGGGGCAAGCGUUGUUCGGAAUUAUUGGGCGUAAAGGGUGCGUAGGCGGUCUGGUAAGUCUUGUGUGAAAUCUUCAGGCUCAACCUGAAGUCUGCAUGAGAAACUGCCGGGCUUGAGUAUGGGAGAGGUGAGUGGAAUUUCCGGUGUAGCGGUGAAAUGCGUAGAUAUCGGAAGGAACACCUGUGGCGAAAGCGGCUCACUGGACCAUAACUGACGCUGAGGCACGAAAGCUAGGGGAGCAAACAGGAUUAGAUACCCUGGUAGUCCUAGCCCUAAACGAUGAUCGCUUGGUGUGACGGGUAUCCAACCCCGCCGUGCCGAAGCUAACGCGUUAAGCGAUCCGCCUGGGGAGUACGGUCGCAAGGCUG